rnacentral:pre_miRNA from 1 species
GUAGUACUCCCUCCGUCCGGAAAUACUUGUCAUCAAAAUGAAUAAAAGGGAUGUAUCUAAAUGUAUAUUAGUUCUAGAUACAUCUUUUUUAUCCAUUUUGAUGACAAGUAUUUUUGGACGGAGGGAGUACUUG